CGUUCGCGGGCGUACGGACGCCGGUGGGACUCCGCGCUGUACGGCGCGGUAACAACACGCUCGUAACACGGAGGAUGUCUCAUACGGUAAAGCGAAUGAUUAGAGGACAUUGGGGCCGAAACGACCUCAACCUAUUCUCAAACUAUAAAUGAGUGAGAUCGCCGGCUUUACCUGGUACACCGCGUGAACCGCGUGCGAAGCCGGCGACGGAACCCUAGGCGCUUAGUGGGCCAUUUUUGGUAAGCAGAACUGGCGCUGCGGGAUGAACCGAACGCCGAGUUAAGGCGCCGAAAUCGACGCGUAUUCAGAGACCAUGAAAGGCGUUGGUUGCUGAUGACAGCAGGACGGUGGCCAUGGAAGUCGGAAUCCGCUAAGGAGUGUGUAACAACUCACCUGCCGAAGCAACUAGCUCUGAAAAUGGAUGGCGCUGGAGCGUCGUGCCUAUACUCGGCCGUCGACGGCAUAGUGGGGCCAGUCGUCGCUCGCGGCGGCCGGUCCCGGCAAGCCUCGACGAGUAGGAUGGCGCGGCGGUGUGCGUCGAAGGGCAGGUCGCGAGACCGCCUGGAGCCGCCGUCGGUGCAGAUCUUGGUGGUAGUAGCAAAUACUCGAGAGGGGCCCUCGGGGGCUGCCGUGGAGAAGGGUUUCUUGUGAACAGCCGUUGUCCAAGAGUCAGUCGAUCCUAAGCCCGGGGAGAGAUCCUCGUACCACGGGCGAAUGCGUUUUCGAAUCGCCCUUGGGGCGAGAGGGAAUCCGGUUCGUAUUCCGGAACCCGACGCGGAACCGCUCCCUAGUGUUCGGGGCUCUUUUGUCUCGUCUGGGUAACCAGAAUGAACUCGAAGAAGCCGCCGGGGGAUCUGGGUAGAGUUCUCUUUUCUCUGUGAGCGUUGUACGUCCCUGGAAUCCUCUAGCCGGGCGAUAGGGACGCGAGCGCGAGAGCACGCUCGAUGCGGCGUGUCCGUGAUCCUCACGCGACUUGAAAAUCGAGAGAGACCACGCGGAGUCUCGCGUCGGUUCGUACCGAUAUCCGCAGCAGGUCUCCGAGGUGAGCAGCCUCUAGCCGCAUAGAAUAAUGUAGGUAAGGGAAGUCGGCAAAACCGAUCCGUAACUUCGGGAUAAGGAUUGGCUCUGAGGAGCGUGGCUGCCGGGUUCGGGUCGUCGUAGAAGCGUAGGCGUUUUUGGCGACACCCCGGCCGUCGCCCGUGCGCCCGGUCUUCGGAACGGGAGCCUCGAGGCGGCCGCGGGCCCGUCGCCGUCCGCCGACCGUGGAACCACCGAGCUUCGGUCGCUGGCCGCGUCGCGGCCGGCCGACCGCCUUGGUGUCGGUUCGCCGUCACCGGGCGGUCCGGCCGCCGCGCCGUCGGUCGCGUAGCCGGAUCGACAGCCAUGUAACGGUCAACUCAGAACUGGCACGGACCAGGGGAAUCCGACUGUCUAAUUAAAACAAAGCAUCGCGAUGGCCCGGGACGGGUGUUGACGCGAUGUGAUUUCUGCCCAGUGCUCUGAAUGUCAACGUGAAGAAAAUUCAAGCAAGCGCGGGUAAACGGCAGGAGUAACUAUGACUCUUUUAAGGUAGCCAAAAUGCCUCGUCAUCUAAUUAGUGACGCGCAUGAAUGGAUUAACGAGAUUCUCACUGUCCCUAUCUACUAUCUAGCGAAAACCACAGCCAAGGGAACGGGCUUGGAAAAAUCAGCGGGGAAAGAAGACCCUGUUGAGCUUGACUCUAAUCUGGCAUUGUUCGGAGACAUGCCGAGGUGUAGCAUACGUGGGAGACCCGGACCAAGGCGGGCGGUUUCGGCCGUUCGUCUCCGGGCCGACCUUGAAAUACCACUACUCGCAUCGUUUCCCCACUUACUCGGUAGAGCGGAACGCGCGGUUCCGGCCGCGGGCGCGUCCGGCCGGCGGUCGUCGUCCCGUCGCGUCGUCGGUUUGCCGUCGGUUCGCCGGCGCGCUACUGGCGCGCGGCGUGGUCGCCGUGCCGUCGGCCUGUGCCCGUUCGUGCCGGGCCGCGGUUGAUAUUCCGGUAGCGUUAAGCACCAGCCGAGGGAUCCGGGCGUCAAACCGCGGACCGCGUCCGUCCGCGUACGGCCGACCGUCAAAAGUCGCCGUCCGCGUUCGCGGCGUAUCCGCGGGCCCGGUCCCUGGUGCGAUCCGUAUUCCGAGGACACCGCCAGGUGGGGAGUUUGACUGGGGCGGUACAUCUGUCAAAAAAUAACGCAGGUGUCCUAAGGCCAGCUCAGCGAGGACGGAAACCUCGCGUAGAGCAAAAGGGCAAAUGCUGGCUUGAUCCCGGACGCUCAGUACGCGUAGGGACUGCGAAAGCAUCGGCCUCUCGAUCCUCUCGUCCGCUGAAGAGUUUUCAGCGAGAGGUGUCAGAUAAGUUACCACAGGGAUAACUGGCUUGUGGCGGUCAAGCGUUCAUAGCGACGUCGCUUUUUGAUCCUUCGAUGUCGCUCUUCCUAUCAU
rfam:Acyrthosiphon pisum strain LSR1 Contig2388, whole genome shotgun sequence.